UACGUAGGGUCCGAGCGUUGUCCGGAAUUAUUGGGCGUAAAGGGCUCGUAGGCGGUUUGUCGCGUCGGGAGUGAAAACUCAGGGCUCAACCCUGAGCGUGCUUCCGAUACGGGCAGACUAGAGGUAUGCAGGGGAGAACGGAAUUCCUGGUGUAGCGGUGGAAGUGCGCAGAUAUCAGGAGGAACACCGGUGGCGAAGGCGGUUCUCUGGGCAUUACCUGACGCUGAGGAGCGAAAGCAUGGGGGAGCGAACAGG
rnacentral:rRNA from 1 species